rnacentral:rRNA from 1 species
AGAGUUUGAUCCUGGCUCAGGACGAACGCUGGCGGCGUGCUUAACACAUGCAAGUCGAACGGUGAUCCGGUGCUUGCACCGGUGAUCAGUGGCGAACGGGUGAGUAACACGUGAGUAACCUGCCCCCGACUCUGGGAUAACCCCGGGAAAUCGGAGCUAAUACCGGAUACGAGACGCACAGGCAUCUGUGGCGUCUGGAAAGAAAUUCGGUCGGGGAUGGACUCGCGGCCUAUCAGCUAGUUGGUGAGGUAACGGCCCACCAAGGCGACGACGGGUAGCCGGCCUGAGAGGGCGACCGGCCACACUGGGACUGAGACACGGCCCAGACUCCUACGGGAGGCAGCAGUGGGGAAUAUUGCACAAUGGGCGCAAGCCUGAUGCAGCGACGCCGCGUGGGGGAUGAAGGCCUUCGGGUUGUAAACCCCUUUCAGCAGGGAAGAAGCGAAAGUGACGGUACCUGCAGAAGAAGCGCCGGCUAACUACGUGCCAGCAGCCGCGGUAAUACGUAGGGCGCAAGCGUUGUCCGGAAUUAUUGGGCGUAAAGAGCUCGUAGGUGGUUUGUCGCGUCCGCUGUGAAAACCCGAGGCUCAACCUCGGGCCUGCAGUGGGUACGGGCAGACUAGAGUGCGGUAGGGGAGACUGGAAUUCCUGGUGUAGCGGUGGAAUGCGCAGAUAUCAGGAGGAACACCGAUGGCGAAGGCAGGUCUCUGGGCCGCAACUGACACUGAGGAGCGAAAGCAUGGGGAGCGAACAGGAUUAGAUACCCCUGUAGUCC